AACAAACGCUGGCGGCGUGCCUAACACAUGCAAGUCGUACGAGAAAGUUGGCUUCGGCCAAUGAGUAAAGUGGCGCACGGGUGAGUAACGCGUGGAUAAUCUGCCCUUCAGCGGGGAAUAACCCAUCGAAAGGUGGGCUAAUACCCCAUAACACUGUUUUACAACUGUCAAACAGUCAAAGAGAGCCUCUACUUGCAAGCUUUUACUGAAGGUUGAGUCCGCGUACCAUUAGCUAGUUGGUAGGGUAAUGGCCUACCAAGGCGACGAUGGUUGGCUGGUUGGAGAGGAUGAUCAGCCACACUGGAACUGAGACACGGGCCAGACUCCUACGGGAGGCAGCAGUGAGGAAUCUUGCGCAAUGGGGGAAAACCUGACGCAGCAACGCCGCGUGAGUGAGGAAGGUCUUCGGGUCGUAAAGCUCCGUCAGGCGGGAAGAAAUGCAUGGAGGUGAACAGCCGCCAUGCUUGACGGUACCGCCAGAGGAAGCACCGGCUAACUCCGUGCCAGCCGCCGCCGUAAUAC
rnacentral:rRNA from 1 species